GCUUGCUUUGGCAGCUAAAUUUGGCACAACACAGAGAUUAGCAUGGCCCCUUCACAAGAUGACAUGCAGCUGUGUGACAUGUCCCAUAUUUUU
rnacentral:snRNA from 1 species